UUUUUUCUGUGAAUCACAAUACAGCAAUUUCUAGAGGAUUUUUUUUCCAGCCAUGGAAAGCUGAAAAGCUACGAGAUUCCACACUUUCAUCGGAAUUUUAACUUAAGAAAGGUAUUCUUUGCUGAUUUAUUUCCACAGUUUACUCUUGUAAAGUUACCUAUUUGUUCAACUUUAAGAGUGCACCGAGAGAGAGAGGGGUAAACGAGCGGGACACUUCCUAGUAAACGUGUCUUGUGUGGAUUUUAUUUCCAAAAAAGAAAAACAAUCUAUAUAUAAUUGCGCAUAAUUUCGAUAGAUUUUCUAAUCUGGCAACAUUCGAUAACGUCAUCAGUUUAGAGAAGGAUAGCAUUGUUGAAUAAAAAUUAAAUUGGAAUUGUGUAUGUGAUGUAUCUAGCCAGCUUACGUCAACUGUCACCGCCGACACCGCGUGCGUGCGCGUGAAGCAGUGAAGCCAGCCGACCCCGACUCUCGACAGAAAACGCAGCUAGAGGUUGCAGCAAAGAAGCCUCAACAAUCGUUCCAGAUUCUUCAUCAGGAUAAAUCCAGAGCACAGUAAGUGCAAUUUGAAGGUCCAGGUUAGCAGAAGAACUGUGAAGGUGGUCCAAAGAAAAAACGAGUCCUUCAAUCCACACGUGGCAUUGUUCAUCAGGGACUUCAUUGAGUAUGACUGGAAGAACAACUAAUACCGUCGUUCUAAAUCCCACUUUUAACCCCAGGGUAGAAGACUCCAGCCCAGGAAAUUGACUAGUUCAGGCCCGUUUUUGAAGAAAAAUACAGUUCUGGGAGAAAAACAACGUUCAGGGACCAAAUUCUACUGUUCGAAAUCCUGCUGUUUUUAAAUCAUUUAAUUUGUCUUUUAGACAUUCUAA